AUUGAACGCUGGCGGCAUGCCUUACACAUGCAAGUCGAACGGUAACGCGGGGCAACCUGGCGACGAGUGGCGAACGGGUGAGUAAUGCAUCGGAACGUGCCCAGUAGUGGGGGAUAGCCCGGCGAAAGCCGGAUUAAUACCGCAUACGACCUACGGGUGAAAGGGGGGGAUCGCAAGACCUCUCGCUAUUGGAGCGGCCGAUGUCAGAUUAGGUAGUUGGUGGGGUAAAGGCCCACCAAGCCUUCGAGCUGUGGCUGGUCUGAGAGGACGACCAGCCACACUGGGACUGAGACACGGCCCAGACGCCUACGGGAGGCAGCAGUGGUGAAUAUUGGACAAUGGACGCAAGUCUGAUCCAGCGAUGCCGCGUGAGUGAAGAAUGUCUUCGGAUUGUAAAGCUCUUUUGUCAGGGAAGAAAAGUGCUGUAAUAACACUACGGCACAAUGACGGUACCUGAAGAAUAAGGAUCGGCUAACUACGUGCCAGCCGCCGCCGUAA
rnacentral:rRNA from 1 species